GCUUGACUGUAUCUUGGAAUUGGGUUCGGGCUUUUCUUGCGCAGACUAGGUGGGAGGCUAUGAAGAUUUUCUUCUGGGAAAGUUGGAGCCAACAGUGAGAGACCACUCUGGAAAGGCUAGAAUCCUAAUGGUGAUCCUUGAAUCAGGACACUUGACAGUUUCAGGUGGGCAGUUUUUCUGGGGCGGAAGCCUCAUAAAAGGUAACUGAGGCGCGCAAAGGUCCCCUCAGUCUGGACGGAAAUCAGACAUUGAGUGUAAAGGCAAAAGGGGGCUUGACUGCAAGACCCACAAGUCGAGCAGGGGCGAAAGCUGGCCUUAGUGAUCCGACGGUGCCGUGUGGAAGGGUCGUCGCUCAACGAAUAAAAGUUA
rnacentral:rRNA from 1 species